GUCGGUGCUCAUGCUUCAGAUUUGACAGUUGAAUCUUUUGUCACUCCUCGGCUAUCACUAACAUUAUCGAGGUUACGAGGUGGUCUACAUCUCGAAGCAAGGUUGUUCGGCCUUGAAGUCUGAACAGUAUCUUUUUCAGGCUUUUCUAAGCAGUCUCUGAGAUAAUGAUCAAGAGAACCACAUCUAAAGCAUGCCUUGCUUCUCAUGCGGCAUUCCCAAAAAUACAAUUUAUUACA
rnacentral:lncRNA from 1 species